UGGGGAAUAUUGGACAAUGGGCGCAAGCCUGAUCCAGCCAUGCCGCGUGAGUGAAGAAGGCCUUCGGGUUGUAAAGCUCUUUUGUCCGGAAAGAAAAGCUUUCGGUUAAUACCCGGAAGUCCUGACGGUACCGGAAGAAUAAGCACCGGCUAACUUCGUGCCAGCAGCCGCGGUAAUACGAAGGGUGCAAGCGUUACUCGGAAUUACUGGGCGUAAAGCGUGCGUAGGUGGUUCGUUAAGUCUGAUGUGAAAGCCCUGGGCUCAACCUGGGAAUGGCACUGGAUACUGGCGGGCUAGAGUGCGGUAGAGGAUGGCGGAAUUCCCGGUGUAGCAGUGAAAUGCGUAGAGAUCGGGAGGAACAUCCGUGGCGAAGGCGGCCAUCUGGACCAGCACUGACACUGAGGCACGAAAGCGUGGGGAGCAAACA
rnacentral:rRNA from 1 species